CCCCAUUUUUCAAACAACACAGACUCCGCAGAUCCAACAACCCGGAUUGGGUUACAAGCAUUUACUUCAUCCCUAGUAUCUUCUACCUCAUUAGAAAAUCUGGGGAAGGCCUCUCCAAGAUUUUCCCGGAGCUUGUCACACAAAGCAUCAUUGCAUUUGAUCAUUGAAGUCAGUUUGGGAGGACCAUUAGAGGUUUG